GUAUUUGUUUUUAAAGGCACUAAGGCCUAGCAAUACAUUCAGAUACAUACAUGAGGAGUAUAUGAAAACAUAGACUGAGAAACACAAGAACAGCUGGCUUGCGCACAGCAGUUCUCAAUCCGAGUUGCCUCGAGAAAUUUUUUUUCAGUCUACAAAAGGUGCACAGGUGGUUAAAAUUGGUGGCAAGCGUGCACAUGUCCCGAAGAACCAGCAACAGCCUGACCAAGUUUAUUCAUUAAUGAUCCUUCCGCAGGUUCACCUACGGAAA
rnacentral:misc_RNA from 1 species